rnacentral:rRNA from 1 species
GACGAACGCUGGCGGCGUGCUUAACACAUGCAAGUCGAACGGAAAGACCCUGCUUUUGUGGGGUGCUCGAGUGGCGAACGGGUGAGUAACACGUGAGUAACCUGCCCUUGACUUUGGGAUAACUUCAGGAAACUGGGGCUAAUACCGGAUAGGAGCUCCUGCUGCAUGGUGGGGGUUGGAAAGUUUCGGCGGUUGGGGAUGGACUCGCGGCUUAUCAGCUUGUUGGUGGGGUAGUGGCUUACCAAGGCUUUGACGGGUAGCCGGCCUGAGAGGGUGACCGGCCACAUUGGGACUGAGAUACGGCCCAGACUCCUACGGGAGGCAGCUGUGGGGAAUAUUGCACAAUGGGCGGAAGCCUGAUGCAGCAACGCCGCGUGCGGGAUGACGGCCUUCGGGUUGUAAACCGCUUUCGCCUGUGACGAAGCGUGAGUGACGGUAAUGGGUAAAGAAGCACCGGCUAACUACGUG